AGAGUUUGAUCAUGGCUCAGGAUGAACGCUAGCGACAGGCUUAACACAUGCAAGUCGAGGGGACAGCAUGAUUUGUAGCAAUACAGAUUGAUGGCGACCGGCGCACGGGUGAGUAACGCGUAUGCAACUUACCUAUCAGAGGGGGAUAGCCCGGCGAAAGUCGGAUUAAUACCCCAUAAAACAGGGGUCCCGCAUGGGAAUAUUUGUUAAAGAUUCAUCGCUGAUAGAUAGGCAUGCGUUCCAUUAGGCAGGUUGGCCGGGGUAACGGCCCACCAAACCGACGAUGGAGUAGGGGUUCUGAGAGGAACGGUCCCCCACAUUGGUACUGAGACACGGACCAAACUCCUACGGGAGGCAACA
rnacentral:rRNA from 1 species